AUAAUUUCCUGGCACGGGAGACAGCAUGAUCAUGAACGUGUUUUUUUUUCUAGGGCAAGGCUUAUCCAUUGCACUCUGGAUGUGCUAACUCCUGCAAUUUCCCCAAAUGUGGAAAAGUCGACUGCAUAAUUUGUGAUAAUGGGGGGCUGCAUACAUGCUCUGCCCUG
ensembl:snRNA U1 U1 spliceosomal RNA